UACAGCCACUGCUGUGCAAGAGGACAUACUGGAGCUGAUUUGGGUUUGUAAAUCAUGACCAAGUUUGCAGCAAGAAGCCUUUGAGGAUGGAAUCGAUAUAGACAGGUGGAUCUCGCAGGAGGCAGAAAAGAGAUGAAGCUGACAGAGCAAAGCAUAAAGGGGAGAAGGAACAUGGCGCAGAGAAGCAGAAGUGCUUGCAACGGGGGCUCCAAGUGAAUCACAAUAAUACUGAUGAGUGGGAAAAAAUAAGUGAGAGAGACAGAGCGGGACUGGAAUGCUGAGCCUGAAAAUGUGAAGAAACAGCUAUUUAUUGGAUGAGAGGUCACACCUGAACAUGCAGGACUAUUCAAUCAACACAGGCUGGUGGGUGGUAAAUGUAAUGUCAUUUCAUGAUACAUUUGAAACUAGUAUUUUCUCCCUCAAAAAUUGAAGAAAUGGCAUACAAGGA